AGCAGUCGCGGUAAUUCCAGCUCCAAUAGCGUAUAUUAAAGUUGUUGCAGUUAAAAAGCUCGUAGUUGAAUUUUGGGGUUCUACCGUUGGUCGGGCAAUUGUCUGUACUGGCGUGUGGAAUUUCUACCUUCUGGGAAACCAUCAUGUUAUUAAUUUAGCGUGGUGGGAAGCCAGGACCUUUACCUUGAAAAAAUUAGAGUGUUCAAAGCAGGCUUACGUCUGAAUACAUUAGCAUGGAAUAAUAAAAUAGGACGGUGGUCCUGUUUUGUUGGUUUCUGAAUCACCGUAAUGAUUAAUAGGGAUAGUUGGGGGCAUUAGAUUCAAUUGUCAGAGGUGAAAUUCUUGGAUUUAUCGAAGACUAACUUCUGCGAAAGCAUUUGCCAAGGAUGUUUCAUUAAUCAAGAACGAAAGUUAGAGAUCGAAGACGAUCAGAUACCGUCGUAGUACUUAACCAUAAACUAU
rnacentral:rRNA from 1 species